UAGUUUGAAAACAUUAAUUACUAUAUAUUGGGUUUAUUUUUAAACAAACGCAAUACGAUUACAAAUUAAUGACAGGUAGACGAGCAACAAUCUGCGCCGCUACCCCUUUCUGAAUAGCAAACCCUACCCUGCUAAGCACAAAAUUCUGCCCCUUAACAUGUGCGGUGUUACUGCUUACCACCUGUUGAACCUGCUUUAGGAACCGCACCGCGUCAGGGGCGAGAGCGCCAAAUGUAGUCUAUGCUUUAUCACGCCGCGUAUGACGCCAACGUACGUCUUUAUUUUAUAUAUGUUUUGAGUUGGUCUACGUUUCGAGGUAAAUUUUGUUUGAAAACAAGUCGGGUCAAAUAAAAUAUAUUUUCAUUUAAUGGUAUGAAUUCGGAUUAGUUUACGUUUCAACGUAAAUUUAGUUUAGAAACGAGGCAGGUUGAUUGUAGUCUAAAUUUAUCAAGCCCUACAACGCGCAACACAACUGGUAAAAUAACUAGUUGACACGUGGUAAAAUAACUAGUUUACACGUGGUGGCACCGUAAAAUUUUAAAGAUCCUAGACUGAAACUUCUAGGAAGUGAUCUACAAUUUAUCACGCAUUUAGGAAGUGAGCAUAGUCUACAAUUUAUCACGCAGUGUUCAUACGGAUCCUAUUUAAAGAUCUUAGAAGAAAUCAACUUUAAUCAAAUGUUAUUUUCUGUCUUCACCAAUUCGCUCCCGAGACUCUUUGUAGUUGGGGUUUUGGAUAGUGAUUUAGAUAUUGUUGUUGGUAUCGAGUCUCUGAGUUGUUGGAUUUUGAGAGUUGAAAUGAUGCCUGUGUUUUCAUUUAAGAUUUUUUACAAAAACCAAAUAACUCUCCCCAACACAAGAACAGAUCACUCCACCACAAUCUUCACCAACGCCCAUUUGUUUUUGAUCAAAUGGUUUACUCUAGCAGCAGCAGCAAUACGUGACGGUGUAGUGUACCUCUGGGGCGAGUAUAAUGAGCGAUUAGCAUUUGUGGAGGAACGCGUAGUGAUGCCGAAAUCUGGGCUGAGCUUUAUCAUCACUGUUCUCCUUGCUUUUGCAGCUAUGAAGUGUCAGUGCCAACCCGGCUUUCCUUAUUUCACCCAUCCUCACCAAGUCAGGUUCACCAUCAACAGCGUCCUGACGUACGGCUUCUCUUGCGCAGCUGAACUUGUUGCUUCAGUUUAGAAGCAUAGGGCGUUGAAAACUGACACCACAAUCGCUACCAAGGCCAUAACCACAUCCCACGUGGUUGAGUCCAUCCCUCUGCACAAUCUUUGAUUGAUCACUAGACGCCACUGCAGACGUCUAACCAGUUCAGAAGCACAGGACGUUGAAAACUGACACCACAACCAGUCAACCACUAUCAAGGCCAAAACCACAGGCCACAUGGGUGAGUCCAUCCUUCUGCAGACUCUUUGCUUGAUUAGUGGACGCCACUGCAGAUGUUUAACCAGGUCCACAAAUGGUAGCUUUUGUUUGGAGGGUGUAUACCUGAAUGCUUAUCUGUAUCCGAUUUAUGUGCUGAUGAUGUGUUUGGUUAGAGAAUUGCUAACUUGAUCAUCAAAGUAGUUGUGCUUGAUUGGUGCAAA